UACGGGGGGGGCAAGCGUUGUUCGGAAUUACUGGGCGUAAAGGGCUCGUAGGUGGCCAACUAAGUCAGACGUGAAAUCCCCAGGCUCAACUUGGGAACUGCGUCUGAUACUGGAUGGCUUGAAUUCGGGAGAGGGAUGCAGUAUUCCAGGUGUAGCGGUGAAAUGCGUAGAUAUCUGGAGGAACACCGGUGGCGAAGGCGGCAUCCUGGACCGAGAUUGACGCUGAGGCGCGAAAGCCAGGGGAGCAAACGGG
rnacentral:rRNA from 1 species